UACGGGGGGAGCAAGCGUUGUUCGGAUUUACUGGGCGUAAAGGGCGCGUAGGCGGCCACCGCAAGUCGAUUGUGAAAUCUCCGGGCUUAACCCGGAAAGGUCAACCGAUACUGCGGGGCUAGAGUGCAGAAGGGGCAACUGGAAUUCUCGGUGUAGCGGUGAAAUGCGUAGAUAUCGAGAGGAACACCGGUGGCGAAGGCGGUUCUCUGGGCCUGUACUGACGCUGAGGAGCGAAAGCGUGGGGAGCGAACAGG
rnacentral:rRNA from 1 species